GAUGAACGCUGGCGGCGUGCCUAAUACAUGCAAGUCGAGCGAACAGACGAGGAGCUUGCUCCUCUGACGUUAGCGGCGGACGGGUGAGUAACACGUGGAUAACCUACCUAUAAGACUGGGAUAACUUCGGGAAACCGGAGCUAAUACCGGAUAAUAUAUUGAACCGCAUGGUUCCAUAGUGAAAGACGGUUUUGCUGUCACUUAUAGAUGGAUCCGCGCCGCAUUAGCUAGUUGGUAAGGUAACGGCUUACCAAGGCAACGAUGCGUAACCGACCUGAGAGGGUGAUCGGCCACACUGGAACUGAGACACGGUCCAGACUCCUACGGGAGGCAGCAGUAGGGAAUCUUCCGCAAUGGGCGAAAGCUUGACGGAGCAACGCCGCGUGAGUGAUGAAGGUCUUCGGAUCGUAAAACUCUGUUAUUAGGGAAGAACAAAUGUGUAAGUAACUAUGCACGUCUUGACGGUACCUAAUCAGAAAGCCACGGCUAACUACGUG
rnacentral:rRNA from 1 species